rnacentral:rRNA from 1 species
AUUGAACGCUGGCGGCAGGCUUAACACAUGCAAGUCGAGCGGGGUGAUGGUGCUUGCACUAUCACUUAGCGGCGGACGGGUGAGUAAUGCUUAGGAAUCUGCCUAUUAGUGGGGGACAACAUCUCGAAAGGGAUGCUAAUACCGCAUACGUCCUACGGGAGAAAGCAGGGGAUCACUUGUGACCUUGCGCUAAUAGAUGAGCCUAAGUCGGAUUAGGUAGUUGGUGGGGUAAAGGCCUACCAAGGCGACGAUCUGUAGCGGGUCUGAGAGGAUGAUCAGACACACUGGGACUGAGACACGGACCAGACUCCUACGGGAGGCAGCAGUGGGGAAUAUUGGACAAUGGGGGGAACCCUGAUCCAGCCAUGCCGCGUGUGUGAAGAAGGCCUUAUGGUUGUAAAGCACUUUAAGCGAGGAGGAGGCUCUUUUGGUUAAUACCCAAGAUGAGUGGACGUUACUCGCAGAAUAAGCACCGGCUAACUCUGUGCCAGCCGCCGCAGUAA